rnacentral:misc_RNA from 1 species
GAUGAAGAACGUAGCGAAAUGCGAUACGUAGUGUGAAUUGCAGAAUCCAGUGAAUCAUCGAAUCUUUGAACGCACAUUGCGCCCGCCGGCAUCCCGGCGGGCAUGCCUGUUCGAGCGUCAUUUCAACCAUCAAGCCCCAGGCUUGCGUUGGAGCCCUGCGGCUGCCGCAGCCUCCUAAAAGCAGUGGCGGGCUCGCUAUCACACCGAGUGCAGUAGAUUACUCUUCGCUCAGGGCGUGCAGCGGGUUCCGGCCGUGAAACCCCCUACUUUUAAAGGUUGACCUCGGAUCAGGUAGGAAUACCCGCUGAACUUAAGCAUAUCAAUAAGCGGAGGA